rnacentral:rRNA from 1 species
ACACUGUUCAUGUGGGCAGCAGCACAUGAGAAAUCAAAGUCUUUGGGUUCCGGGGGGAGUAUGGUCGCAAGGCUGAAACUUAAAGGAAUUGACGGAAGGGCACCACCAGGAGUGGAGCCUGCGGCUUAAUUUGACUCAACACGGGAAAACUUACCAGGUCCAGACAUAGGAAGGAUUGACAGA